UGGCUUUGAUAAUAUUUGGGAGAUUCUGU
rnacentral:piRNA from 1 species